rnacentral:tRNA from 1 species
UAAUAAGAUAAGCUAAAUUAAAGCUGUUGGGCUCAUAACCCAAAAAUAGAACUUAUUCUUCUUAUUAUC